UAAGGGAAGUCGGCAAACGGAUCCGUAACCUUGGGAUAAGGAUUGGCUCUGAGGACUGAGCCGGUCGGGCUGGGGACCUGAAGCAGGAACGGCACUGCACCGGGACUGGGCGGGGCUCGCCGUUCACGCGGCGCGGCCAAGCCCGGACCAGCGUCGGGACCUUCCUGUGGAAAGCCUCAGCUGCGCGGCGUCUGAGGGCUUCGUGCCCAAAGUGCUAUGCUUCGGCCGGCAAAAAACAGUCAACUCAGAACUGGCACGGACCGGGGGAAUCCGACUGUCUAAUUAAAACAAAGCAUUGCGAUGGCCGCUGGUCGGUGUUGACGCAAUGUGAUUUCUGCCCAGUGCUCUGAAUGUCAACGUGAAGAGAUUCAUCAAAGCGCGGGUAAACGGCGGGAGUAACUAUGACUCUCUUGUGGUAGCCAAAUGCCUCGUCAUCUAAUUAGUGACGCGCAUGAAUGGAUUAACGAGAUUCCCACUGUCCCUA
rnacentral:ncRNA from 1 species